rnacentral:rRNA from 1 species
UACAGAGGGUGCGAGCGUUGUUCGGAAUUAUUGGGCGUAAAGGGCGCGUAGGCGGUGCGGUAAGUCACCUGUGAAAUCUCCUGGCUCAACUGGGAGCUUGCAGGCGAAACUGCCGGGCUUGAGUAUGGGAGAGGUGAGUGGAAUUCCUGGUGUAGCGGUGAAAUGCGUAGAUAUCAGGAGGAACACCUGUGGCGAAAGCGGCUCACUGGACCAUAACUGACGCUGAUGCACGAAAGCUAGGGGAGCAAACAGG